rnacentral:lncRNA from 10 species
CUCUAAUUCUGGCUCUUGACUAUCUCUCCCUUGCUUGCAUUACUUGAAAACAAUUAGUGCAAUUAUCCUUAUUCAGUCCCUUCUGACACUCCCUCUCUCUUAUACCUGCAGAUUUGCAGCCACAUGGUGAUAGUUACGUGAAUAUCAAAUUCGAUUAUUCUAAUGAAGGCUUUAAUUGGAGACUGUCAUUUGCUCUCAAUCUCAUUCUAAGUGAUACUUAUUCUCUAUUUGUAGCUUUCUCCUCCCACAAAGGUGGUCUCCUCAGAUCUCUAGUCCUUAUAUGUUAUUGCUCUGUGUAAUGGCCUGUUUUAAGAAUUUCACAUUUUGAUAGCAAAUAUCUUAUUGACCACUUAAAUGUGGUGGUAAUGUGCUUAAUAAUUAAUUGCUUUCUAUUUUAUAUACAUAUAUUUAAAAAAAACAACAUACUAUUUUUUUCAGAUAUAUUCUCACUCUGUCACCCAAGAUAAAGUAUAGUGGCAUGAUCAUAGCUUACUGCAGCCUCUAACAUCUGGACUCAAG